rnacentral:rRNA from 1 species
GUUGGGUAGGGGAGCGUUCUGUAAGCCUGCGAAGGUGUACUGUGAGGUAUGCUGGAGGUAUCAGAAGUGCGAAUGCUGACAUAAGUAACGAUAAUGCGGGUGAAAAACCCGCACGCCGGAAGACCAAGGGUUCCUGUCCAACGUUAAUCGGGGCAGGGUGAGUCGACCCCUAAGGCGAGGCUGAAAAGCGUAGUCGAUGGGAAACGGGUUAAUAUUCCCGUACUGGUGGUAACUGCGAUGGGGGAACGGAGAAGGCUAGGUUGUCCGGGCGACGGUCGUCCCGGUUCAAGCAGGUAGGCAGAGUGAUUAGGCAAAUCCGGUCACUUAAUGCUGAGAUGUGAUGACGAACCACCAAGGUGGUGAAGCAAUUGAUGCCCCGCUUCCAGGAAAAGCCUCUAAGCUUCAGGUUACCAACAAUCGUACCCCAAACCGACACAGGUGGUCAGGUAGAGAAUACUCAGGCGCUUGAGAGAACUCGGGUGAAGGAACUAGGCAAAAUGGUGCCGUAACUUCGGGAGAAGGCACGCUGGCGGUAGGUAAAGUCCCUCGCGGACAGAGCUGAAGCCAGUCGAAGAUACCAGCUGGCUGCAACUGUUUAUUAAAAACACAGCACUGUGCAAACACGAAAGUGGACGUAUACGGUGUGACGCCUGCCCGGUGCUGGAAGGUUAAUUGAUGGGGUCAGCCGUAAGGCGAAGCUCCUGAUCGAAGCCCCAGUAAACGGCGGCCGUAACUAUAACGGUCCUAAGGUAGCGAAAUUCCUUGUCGGGUAAGUUCCGACCUGCACGAAUGGCGUAAUGAUGGCCAGGCUGUCUCCACCCGAGACUCAGUGAAAUUGAACUCGCUGUGAAGAUGCAGUGUACCCGCGGCAAGACGGAAAGACCCCGUGAACCUUUACUAUAGCUUGACACUGAACAUUGAGCCUUGAUGUGUAGGAUAGGUGGGAGGCUUUGAAGUGUGGACGCCAGUCUGCAUGGAGCCAACCUUGAAAUACCACCCUUUAACGUUUGAUGUUCUAACCUAGGCCCAUAAACUGGGUCGGGGACCGUGUCUGGUGGGUAGUUUGACUGGGGCGGUCUCCUCCUAAAGAGUAACGGAGGAGCACGAAGGUUGGCUAAGCAUGGUCGGACAUCAUGCGGUUAGUGCAAAGGCAUAAGCCAGCUUGACUGCGAGAGUGACGGCUCGAGCAGGUACGAAAGUAGGUCUUAGUGAUCCGGUGGUUCUGAAUGGAAGGGCCAUCGCUCAACGGAUAAAAGGUACUCCGGGGAUAACAGGCUGAUACCGCCCAAGAGUUCAUAUCGACGGCGGUGUUUGGCACCUCGAUGUCGGCUCAUCACAUCCUGGGGCUGAAGUAGGUCCCAAGGGUAUGGCUGUUCGCCAUUUAAAGUGGUACGCGAGCUGGGUUUAGAACGUCGUGAGACAGUUCGGUCCCUAUCUGCCGUGGGCGUUGGAAGAUUGAGAGGGGUUGCUCCUAGUACGAGAGGACCGGAGUGAACGCACCACUGGUGUUCGGGUUGUCAUGCCAAUGGCAUUGCCCGGUAGCUAAGUGCGGAAGAGAUAACCGCUGAAAGCAUCUAAGCGGGAAACUUGCCUCGAGAUGAGUCUUCCCUGUCGCUUUAAG